rnacentral:ncRNA from 1 species
UUAAUUUGAUUCAACACGGGGAAACUUACCAAGUCCAGUCAUAGUAAGGAUUGACAGACUGAGAGCCCUUUCUUGAUUCUAUGGGUGGUGGUGCAUGGCCGUUCUUAGGCCGCGGAAGUUUGAGGCAAUAACAGGUCUGUGAUGUCGACCACUUCUAGUGCU